CCUGACUGCUAUCGGAUUGAUACUAAGCCAUGCGAGUCUUUGCAGUAAUGCAAGGCAUACGGCUCAGUAACACGUAGUCAACUUACCCUAUGGACGAGGAUAAUCUCGGGAAACUGAGCAUAAUACUCGAUAGAUCAUAAUGCCUGGAAUGGUUUAUGGUUAAAAUGAUUCGUCGCCAUAGGAUGGGACUGCGGCCUAUCAGCUUGUUGGUGAGGUAAUGGCCCACCAAGGCGAUUACAGGUACGGGCUCUGAGAGGAGAAGCCCGGAGAUGGGUACUGAGACAAGGACCCAGGCCCUAUGGGGCGCAGCAGGCGAGAAAACUUUGCAAUGUGCGAAAGCACGACAAGGUUAGUCCGAGUGAUUUCUGCUAAAGAGAUCUUUUGCUAGUUAUAAAACCACUAGUGAAUAAGGGGUGGGCAAGUUCUGGUGUCAGCCGCCGCGGUAAAACCAGCACCUCAAGUGGUCAGGAUGAUUAUUGGGCCUAAAGCAUCCGUAGCCGGCUCUGUAAGUUUUCGGUUAAAUCUAUGCGCUCAACGUAUGGGCUGCCGAAAAUACUGUAGAGAUAGGGAGUGGGAGAGGUAGACGGUACUCGGUAGGAAGGGGUAAAAUCCUUUGAUCUAUCGAUGACCACCUGUGGCGAAGGCGGUCUACCAGAACACGUUCGACGGUGAGGGAUGAAAGCUGGGGGAGCAAACCGGAUUAGAUACCCGGGUAGUCCCAGCUGUAAACGAUGCAGACUCGAUGAUGCAUUGGCAUAUAGCCAGUGCAGUGUCGCAGGGAAGCCGUUAAGUCUGCCGCCUGGGAAGUACGUACGCAAGUAUGAAACUUAAAGGAAUUGGCGGGGGAGCACCACAAGGGGUGAAGCCUGCGGUUC
rnacentral:rRNA from 1 species